AAUUAAUGAGCUUGAAAAAAGCUUAUAUUUUGAAAAUAUAAGAAAGAAAAAAUAAAUUUUCUAUUAAUUU
rnacentral:tRNA from 1 species